UACGUAGGUGGCAAGCGUUGUCCGGAAUUAUUGGGCGUAAAGCGCGCGCAGGCGGUUAUGUAAGUCUGAUGUUAAAGCCCGGGGCUCAACCUCGGUUCGCAUUGGAAACUGCGUAACUUGAGUGCAGAAGGGGAAAGUGGUAUUCCACGUGUAGCGGUGAAAUGCGUAGAUAUGUGGAGGAACACCAGUGGCGAAGGCGACUUUCUGGUCUGUAACUGACGAUGAGGCGCGAAAGCGUGGGGAGCAAACAGG
rnacentral:rRNA from 1 species